GAUCAUUUCCAUAUACCCUUACCAAAUUACAGGGUUAUCAUAUAAAUAACAAUAAAAAUUAUGAAAAAGAGUAGCGAGAUUAAAUAUGAAUGCAUAAAAAUUGGGAGGGGACACCUUGGGAGUGAAGGAUCCCAGCUCCAGGUCAGACCGCACAGCCCAGGGCUCCAGCUCCAGGAAGAUAAAUCCCCAUAACUUCUGGCCACAAAAACCAGUGGGGGGUGAGGUGGCAAAAGAAA